rnacentral:rRNA from 1 species
AGAGUUUGAUCAUGGCUCAGGAUGAACGCUAGCUACAGGCUUAACACAUGCAAGUCGAGGGGAAACGACAUCGAAAGCUUGCUUUUGAUGGGCGUCGACCGGCGCACAGGUGAGUAACGCGUAUCCAACCUGCCCACCACUUGGGGAUAACCUUGCGAAAGUAAGACUAAUACCCAAUGACGUCUCUAGAAGACAUCUGAAAGAGAUUAAAGAUUUAUCGGUGAUGGAUGGGGAUGCGUCUGAUUAGCUUGUUGGCGGGGUAACGGCCACCAAGGCGACGAUCAGUAGGGGUUCUGAGAGGAAGGUCCCCCANAUUGGAACUGAGACACGGUCCAAACGUCCGUACGGGAGGCA